GACGAACGCUGGCGGCGUGCUUAACACAUGCAGGUCGAACGGAAAGGCCCUGCUUUUGUGGGGUGCUCGAGUGGCGAACGGGUGAGUAACACGUGAGUAACCUGCCCUUGACUUUGGGAUAACUUCAGGAAACUGGGGCUAAUACCGGAUAGGAGCUCCUGCUGCAUGGUGGGGGUUGGAAAGUUUCGGCGGUUGGGGAUGGACUCGCGGCUUAUCAGCUUGUUGGUGGGGUAGUGGCUUACCAAGGCUUUGACGGGUAGCCGGCCUGAGAGGGUGACCGGCCACAUUGGGACUGAGAUACGGUCCAGACUCCUACGGGAGGCAGCAGUGGGGAAUAUUGCACAAUGGGCGGAAGCCUGAUGCAGCAACGCCGCGUGCGGGAUGACGGCCUUCGGGUUGUAAACCGCUUUCGCCUGUGACGAAGCGUGAGUGACGGUAAUGGGUAAAGAAGCACCGGCUAACUACGUG
rnacentral:rRNA from 1 species